AAACUCCAAAAUGGCCACAAGCCUUUGGAUUAUGAACCGGGCCGGGUAUUUUAGUCAAAUCCACUUCAACACUCUGAAGAACAAAAAUGCUACUCCUUCCCGUACUUUCUCUCUCUCCCUCCUUCCCCUCUCUCACUUCAAACCGUUAUCUCCAAUUUCGACCUCGUCGGAGUUGCCGCGUCGUUCGAUGGGCCGCCAUGAAGUCCGGUGACGAUGAGUUCACGGCAAAGUCGGGGUACCUAUUUGAGCUGAGCGCGACGAAGGCGGAUUCGCUAGGGAAUACUAGAUACCAAAAAUCGCAGCCAUAUGCUCGCGGAAGCCUCUGCUCAUGGCUCGCCACUUGGUGCAAACCAGCGUCGCAUUCGGGAAGUGGUUCGGUCUCCGCUACAUCGAUACUCUCUUGGACCGCUCCGGGUCAAUGUUUCAGGCUUCAUAACGCUCUGUUUGUUUCUAUUUGUUUAUUUAUUUUGGUGAAUUCAGGUUUGGAGGAAGUAGUUUCGUGUUAUUAGAGUUAACAAUGUUGAAGAUUUUGUAGGAAAUGAUUAGUUGUUAUAAUUAGAAUUAGAAUGGAGGAUUGUAUAGGAACUGAUUUGUUGUUGUGAUUAGAAUGGAGGAUUUUCAAGGAAAUGAUUUGUUCUUAUGAUUAGAAUGGAGGAUUCUGAAGGAAGUGGUUUGUGUUGCUGGAAUGGAGUGUUCCGAUUUUGGUAUUCUUUUUUUUUCUUGGCGAGUGCUCUGGGAAUGAACUAUGUCUUCGCUGAAAGCUGGGCUCCUCAAUACGGCAACACUGUUUUGUCUAAGUGGCCCAUUAAACGCUGGAAGCUACAGAAAAUCUUUGAUCACCACGAUUACAGGUUGUGGGGGUUAUCUACAUAGUUUUGUUAUUGGGAUUACAAGGAGUGAGGGUUGUUGAAUGCAGAGUGGCCAAUGGAUUGGACUGUUUUGAGUACCCUGCUAUCAGCUGCAGAAAACACAGUGCAGUUUUGACUGAUUUUGGUGGUGUUGGUGAUGGAAAAACAUCUAACACAAAGGCCUUUCAAUAUGCUAUUAGCAAUCUCAGCCACUAUGCAUUUGAUGGUGGAGCUCUCCUUGUUGUGCCACCAGGGAAAUGGUUAACAUGAAGUUUCAAUCUCACCAGCCAUUUCACACUUUUUCUCCAAAAGGAAGCUACCAUUCUUGGAUCUCAGUUCGUCUUUGUGGAGUUCGUCUUUGCCACUUAUCGAUUGAGGUACGUCCUUUCGUUUUAACAUUAGGCGUUCCCCGUUUUAACAUUUGCUCACUUUCGCAGGUCGAAGAAAACUAGGAAAGGAAAGAGUCCCGGAAAGGGUACUCCCAGGGCGUUCUUCUUCUUUCUCCUUCUGCCUGAGUUCGUCUUUGUCGCAAACUGGGCUGCGCUUUCGUGACUGCAACCACAUUGUGGAGUUCGUCUUUGUGGAUUUCGUGUUUGCCACUUAUCGAUUAAGGUCGAAGAAAACUAGGAAAGGAAAGAGCCCCGAAAAGGGUGGGAAUCGAUUUUGGAAGUCCAUUGUGCUUGGCUUUAAGACUCCCAGGGAAGCCAUCAAAGUGCUAUGAGACAUGUUGGAGGGAUUUCAAAAUGGGGUCCCAUUCUCCUGUCCAGUGUGGUGCCUUGUCUGAUAAAGAGUGUGGUGGUUUGAGCUAUGAUGAUGCUUGGAAUGCAUGUAGUAAUCAAAACCGGGACCAUUUUCAUCAUUUGGUUGGUUUCCUCAACUUGAGUCACAAUGCAAAGCAUCCAUGGUGAUGUUUGGCCUGUCUUUACUUGUCAAGGAAGCUGCAAAAAUUUGUCAAGGUUAUAAGAUUGUUGUGCUAUUCUAGAAGCUGCACUGCAUCAAUUUGGUGGCUUUGAUACUAGUUCUAUUAAUCAAUUUAAAUCCUUUUCAUAUUACAAAAAUGAAUUUAAUCAUUAACUUUUAAAAUUUUCAAUUUAGUUUGAAAAAUUAAUAUUUAGGUAAAUUUAUCCUUAAUAUUGAAAAAUAAAGUUCUGAGCCAGUCAAUUUGGUUGCCUGAUACACACCAACUUGAAGACCAAAUUGCUUAAGUUAGUUACCAAAUUUGAUUGAUAUUUAUUUGCGAUGAUAAUAACAUUUUUACUUGCAGCUGCGUUAAAUAUUUGAAGGAAAAACUUUGCCGCUCAAAAUGAUCUUACCUAAUUCGAACCAGAUUGUCUAUGGUGGAGAGAUACCCGUGUUCUAGACCAAAAAAUAGCAUUUUUACUAAUUUAAAGAGCAAUUAGAUUACUAGCCUUAAUGAAGAGCAAUUAGAUGAUCUGGGACAUGUACCUUCCACUUCCUCAUAGCAGCCACAAAAACCUGAACCAUCCUUGUUAAGGGGCUACCUGAUGGCAAUCUAUGCCUAUAAAGUGGAGUUCCUAAAAGAAACGCCAAAACUGAAACGACUAGCCCAAUGGUUGGGAUCCCAUAACCAAGUCCAAAACCAACCUUGUCUUGUAUGUAAACCAAGAGAGUUUGGGCGGUAAUGGUUCCAAUUUCUUUUGGGAAGGCAGAAGAUAUAUAUUAUUAGAUAAAACAGUACCAGUGGUACCAUAGAAAGAAAGUACAAUGCACCAAGGUGCUGCCCUCCAAAAGAAAAACCCAAACUAAUCCAACAAGAACAUGAAAACCCCACCAAACUAACCAAAGGAAUUCGAGAUAUUGGAAGACCAGUGGUUAAAACUAAUGUUGAAGUCUUUCUCUCUAGCCUUUAACCAUGACCAAGCUAGAAAGAGAGCAUCAUCCAUGACUUUAGAGGAAUCAAAAGAUUUUCCUUGGAAAAUCAGUAGAUUCCUAUGCUACCAUAUAGAACUAGUUAGGGCAAUCCACCACCCACACCUUCUGCUAUGAUUCGCAGUUGCACCAAAACCUUCACAGAAUUGAGUAAAAGGGCAAGCUGGGGAAAGUGGAAGAGGACCUACUACCUGAAUCCGUCUCAUGGAUUCCCACCACAAGCCUUUUGUCAUUUUACAAUUGAAGAAAAGAUGACCGACCUCCUCUUGCACACAGCCACACAAAGGACAAUCAACUUCCUGGAUACCCACAUUUCUUCUUAGAAGAUUAUCCCUAGUGGGGAGUCUAUUUUUAAUAAGCCUCCAACAGAAAACCACUGCCCUAGGGGGGAUUUUCAGCUUCCAAAUAGUCUUGAAAAUCUUCCCAUCUGAGCUUGUUGUGCUGGGGUUCAUCAAUAAACUAUAAGUUGACUUAGUAGUGUACUCUCCACUAGGUUUAGCCAACCACAUCAUGGUGUCCUUAGCAUGUCUCUAAAUAGGGAUAGAACUGAUUUCCUCCAUAAACUGCACAGCUAAAUCACUUUCAUGAUCAAAUAAGUUCCUCCUCCACUUCAUGUCCCACCUCCAAUUAUCAUGAGUAAAAUCGCCCAUCUUUGAAAUGAGAGAUUUUUGCUGUCUACUAAUCAGGAAAAGCUUAUUAUAUUUUUGCUCAAGAGUGCAGUCUUCCCCUAGCCACUUAUCUGUCCAGAAUUUGAUUUUUUCCCCACACCCAACCUUCCAAGUCAAAUGAUUUUCAAAAAUACUGUGAUCAGAUUGUUGAUACAGCUUUCUAAGGUCCCUCCACCAAUGAGAAUAUCCCCCUUUGUCUCUACCAUUUUGGAAUUCUGACCAACCUCCAUAUUUGGAGAUUAUAAUUCUGGCCCAAAGCUGCUGCUGAUCAGAUGCAAAGGCCAAUAUCCAUCUUCCCAUCAAAGCUACAUUGAAUUUCGAAAUAUCCUUGAUCCCCAAACCCCCAUCAGUCUUGUUCCAAUUAGAAUAUUAAACACCCACCAGUUGAAGAUGGAAAGCCUCUCCUUGGGCUCAAAGUCAUAAAAUUGGACACUUAGUUUCUGUUUUAGUUGUUUGAUUUUGGCUUUGGUCUAAAAGGUUAGGUUUCAAGUAUCUUCCAACCAUUGUUAUGAUAAUACUUCUAAAAUUAGGCGCGCCAUCUCUGUAUCGAUCAGAUACUAUUACACUAAACCAACUAGAGUCAGCUAAGUGGUGAAGAAUUUAGAUAGUAUACUUGAGAUCAUAGGUUCUAACUUAAGACAAUGAUUGUACACAAGAAAAAAGACUAUUACACUAAAUGCUGCUAGUAUAUUAUCAAGACUGAACUCACAAUAAAGUAUUAGCUUUUCCUGUAUAAUUAGCCUACCAUUUUUACUCUAAUAAAUGAAUUCAUAUGUUGGUAUGUUAGUAUUUUCCAUUUGCUUUCCUCGGGUUACUAUUUAAUACAAAGUAGGAUAUUUUGCUUCAAGAGUUAAAUUAUCCCCCAGCCACUUGUUCUUCCAGAAACUGAUUUUGGUACCACAGCCCACCCUCCACUUGAGGUUAUCAAUAAAGCAAUUGUUGUGCUGCUGCUGGAAGAAAACCUUUAAGUCUUACCACCAUUGAGAGGAAAAUUUACUCUUUCCACCAGAGAUCAGCUCCUUCCACCCACCAUAUUUGGAGAGUAAGAUUCUAGCCCAAGGUUGGUUCUGAUUAUUAGCCAGCUCCCACCCCCAUUUGCCAAGUAAAGCCUCAUUAAAAUUAGACAAAUCUUUAAUCCCUAGGCCCCCUUUGUUUUUAGGAAGGAAAACUGUGUCCCACUUCACCCAAGGAAUCUUGCUGGCCUUAUGAUGACCUCCCCAAAGAAAAUUUCUCUGGAUGGAAGCAAUCUUGUGCACCACUUUUUUGGGGAUCUUAAAAAAAGAUAGUAAAUAGAUAGGUAAGGCUGAUAAAACUGAAUUAAUGAGAGUGAUUUUGCCCCCUAUAGAUAGGCUUCUUUGCUUCCAUUUUUCAAGUUUGGCUUCAAACUUCCUUAUGAUAGGCUGCCACACAAUCCAGCUCUUAGAAGACACCCCUACUAGCAUUUAAAUUGAUCACAACAGACUGAUCAAUAAAAGCUGAGGCUAUCCCCAUUUCAUUAUCAAACAAAUUGUGCCUCCAGGAGAAUUUCCAUUCCCACCUCGAUUCACAGAAAGAGCCCAACUCUGCUACUAUGUGAUGUUUUUGUAAGGAAAUUCGAUAUAGCUCUGGAUAUUUUUCUUUAAGAGUUAUCCCCCCAUCCACCCAAGAGUCCUCCUAGAACAAAAUUUGAUCACCUCUUCCCAGCUUCCAAAUAAACCGUUUAGAAACCUCAGCCAUACUCCCAUGUUGAUUAAUGGAUCUCAAGUCAUACCACCAAUGAGAGAAAUUAGGCUUUGGUGGCCCCCCUUCCAAGCCUCUCCAACCUCUGUAUUUAGAAUUCAAAAUUCGGCUCCAUAGUUUAUUAUCCCAAAUACACAACAACCCCCCAGCAGUAUUGUCAGCAGGUUGCCAUUCCCAAGCAACAUCUGGGUGGCCCCACAAAACCUGGCAAUCUGCCUUAGAAAAAGAAUCCCUUUUUGUUUCUUGCAAACACAGGACAUCCACUUUAAGCUUCCCAACCAAGUUCCUGAUAGAGGCCCAUUAAUGCCUCUACCCAGCCCUCUAAUGUUGUAGGAAAGAAUAUUCAUCUAUGAGUUUUCCUCUCUCCUAACUCCAUAGCUUCAUUUCUGUCUCUGGCCUCCAUAUCUGCAAAGCUUUGAAUAAAAUCAGAGUGACAUGUGUCUGCUUCGAAGCCUAUGCUUGUCCCCAAGUCCCAUAAUUGUUGGGCCUCUUCCAACACCUGAUUGUUACAAACAAUUUUGCUUUUUAAUCUCCCUUCCGCUUCCAAUUGCUUGUGACUUUGACUUUGGUUUUGGAUAUCAGUUGUGGUAGCCAUGUCUUUGUCUCCUUCUAGCACAUGAGGUUCUUCUGCCAUGGGUUCAAGCUGGGGGGCUUUAGAGUGAGAAAAUCUAUGUCUUUACCAGGACUAGUAAUAAUAGGUUGGGCUGAAUCCACUUGAGAAGCACUGCUAUUGAUUUCUGAUGAAAGUGAACCACUUUCAAUGUGUUGAUCUAAGGUUUGCUUGAUUUCUGAUCUGUAGCAGAGGUUAGAGCUUUCAACUCAUGACAGAGUGGGAAACAAUGAUGCAGCAAUGUAGAUGUAGAUGUAGGGCAUCCAUCUAACACAAACCUAAUAGCUUUCUCAAAGCCUGAUUCCACUAAAAUUUUACCAAAAUCAUGCUGCCUUGCAAUCUUAGGAUUUAUUGGAAUGUUGUGCUGCCUUAGAAUAUGACGAUUUAAAGUACCCCCUACCCCAACUGCAAUAUAAUAAAAUUAGAAAUAAACUAACACAAGCAUAUGACUAAUUAAUAAGAAAAGCAGAAGAGUGAACCACUUUUGUGCAGUGAGUACCAUUGGUACUAAAAUUACAGUAUUUUUGGGGCCAGCUGGUUCCUAUGUUUACUGAUAGGACCCAAGCCAGCACCACAGCACCCAGCUAUGUAACACCCUACUACAACAAUCCAUCCCCCUUACUCCUAGGCUAGGUACAGAAACCUAAUGUUAGAUUAGUAGCCCAUUGGUUAAAAUGUACUGUAAAGUCUUUGUCGUUGGACUUGAGCCAUGACCAAAGUAGUAGUAGGGCAUCAUCGAUGACUUUGCUAUUGUUGAAACAUUGGUUUUGAAAGACUGUUUUAUUCCUUUGUUGCCAAAUUGUCCACGUUACUGCAACCCACCAGCACUUCCACCUUGUAGACUUUGUGUUACCAACAAGCUAAUGCCCAUGCUGUAGAAAGUGAUCCCUUGGAUUUUGUGGAAGUGCAGUCACUACUCCGAUCCAAGAUAAUGACUCCCACCAUAGAGGUACGGUCUUACUGCAGUUAAAGAACAAGUGGGCAGCGUCCUCCUCAUGAUUGCAACAGAAUGGGCACAUCGUGUCGCUCAGCACCACUUGUCUCCUGCCUCUAAAGCUAACUUUGAAAUCCAGCUUGUGCUGUUGACACACACACACAGCCACACACACACACCCAUAUACACACACACAACCACACACACACAUACACACACACACACACACACA